UACAGAGGGUGCGAGCGUUAAUCGGAAUUACUGGGCGUAAAGCGUGCGUAGACGGUUAUUUAAGUCGAAUGUGAAAGCCCCCGGCUCAACUGGGGAGGGUCAUUCGAUACUGUCCGACUCGAAGGCAGGAGAGGGAAGCGGAAUUCCCGGUGUAGUGGUGAAAUGCGUAGAUAUCGGGAGGAACACCGGUGGCGAAGGCGGCUUCCUGGACCGACACUGACGCUGAGGCGCGAAAGCUAGGGGAGCAAACGGG
rnacentral:rRNA from 1 species